UUUCUACCAAUCAUUCUUCAUUUAAUUUGGAGGUGAUAAAACUUGAAGUCUUAAGCUAACUAGUUCAUUCGGUUUGCAUUCAUUUCUUUUAUAACUAAUUUCGAUAUUCAUUUAUAUAUCUUUCCCGAUUUGUAUCAAUUUAUAUCACAUAUCCUUAGAACUACAUAUAAAUUUAACUAUAUCCGUUUUUCGGGUAAACAGUUAUAUUUAAACUAUAUCAAUUCAAUGUUCUGUAUUGUAUAAAAGAAUUAAUAUUAUUACAAGUGGUAAAAAGAAUAUGUAAAUACACCGCUGAUCAAAUUUAUGUAGUACAGUAGUAGUUAAGUUUAGAAGUAAAAGAAUGAGAAGUAAGUAAAUAGAGAAAUGGCAUAGCAAGACCACCCUAAGGUGAUGGCUGGGCUGCUACUGCUGCUGCUACUAGAACUACGAGACGCACCGGCUCCUCUACCGAUGCCGCCACUGCCGCUGCCGCCACUGCCGCUGCCGCUGCCGCCACCUCUUCGAGCAACGGCAGAUGUUAGGAGGAGGCAAAUGACAGAAAAUAAAAUCACAACCGUCACAUUCUUCUUCAUUAAUUCCUUGUCAGCUAGUUGUUCUGCAGUUACUUUCUUGAUAUGAUCUAAUUAAUUCGUUUUCUUCUUCCUCUUCCUUUUAUGUUUCUUUUCUCUUUUUUCUUGUGUGUCCUGUGGAUGUGCAAAUUUAUAUCAUACUUCUUAGCUUGAAAAGAUAUAGGCGAUUCACUUAAACCACGAAGUUUCGUUGACACGCUUAAUUCCAAUAACUCAAGUAUUGAAACUAGAUAUUCAAGAGAAGAAUAAGUCAACAAAAGUUGCUAAUAAUAAUAAUGUUUUAGCUGGCGUUCUUUAUUGAAAAGUCAAAAUUCGGACGACUCUUGUCCAAUUAUACAAGUUGGAGGCACCCACCUUAAACUACACUUGUCUCCACCGAUUCAAUGUUUAUUAAUUUUUUUUCUCAACACCUCUAUUCAUUACAUUUUAAAGGUUGUAAAUGGCAUGAUAUACUUCUCCAUAUUGGUAUGACAAAAAUUGAAUAUGAUUUUCGAUGCAAAAUUAGAACUUUUUUUAGAAAAUAAAAAACUAAAAGGAAGUAUUUUUAGUUUUCCAGAAGAAAAAAAAAAGCUCAUAUAUUUGUAUACGGUUAAAAUCGAUCCUCGGUCAUGAAGAUCGAUCGAGGAUGGCAUUUCAAUCGAGGGGUACCUUCAUGGAGACCCCGAGCGAAUUCCGAGAUGGGGGCGUCGAGCCCGGGCGUUCGAACCGACCGAGGUAACAUCGGUCGAUACAGGUCCCGAACAUCGAUGCCCGAAAGUGAUCACCUAGCUCGAAAUCAAGGCCGAGGUUCCAAUCCGAUACCGAGCUCGAGUCGGUAUUGAGUUCACAGACAAAAGCUGUUACAACCGUACCAAAGGAGAGAAUCUCUGCGGGAAUUAAGGAGGAGACGCACCAUCAUGGGUCCUCCACUAGUAAUAUUUAUUUCCAUCAUGUUACUAUAGAUAGAGUAGUGAUCUUUGGCUAUAAAGCCAAGGAGAGUUUGUAAUAGAAUGCACUUUUGGCUGGGAUUAAGAAUUCAUUGUGUUUAUCUUUCUAAAGCUCAUUAAAUAUCUUUGUUCAUCAUCUUCCAUUUUUGUAUCAUAAAUACGUGUAUUGUUAUUUUCAUAUCAAAGGAAUCUACUUGCCCUUAGAACCAUACAUAAAUUCAACGUUAUUCGAUUUUUCGGGUAAACAGUUUGGCGCCCACCGUGGGGCUAAGGAUAACAAGUGACUAUUUGACACAAAUAUACAACACGCUCCAGCUUACAACUUCAUAUCAACAAUGGCUCUGCCAAUCGACCUCGAAGCUGGCCUUCAGGAUGAAACCAACAAUGUGGUGCCCGUGGCCGAAAGGCUACCCAACAACGGCAAUGAGGAUCGAAUCGAGGAACCCGAAAUUCGAGCCGAAGUACCAGUAGAUAUCAAUUCACGAAUAGCUCUAAAAGCGAAUCAACGUUCCGAGCAGGAAAGAAGCGUUCAGGGUGGCGAUCGACCCAUAGCCCGAGACACCCACAACACGGGGGAAAUCGGGGUCAGCUUGCGCAUGAUUUUCGAAAUGCUACAAGCCCAACAAGUAGCGAUAGCUCAGUUGCAGAGCCAAACUCAUAUGCGAAGUAAUCCAAACUCCAAUCCACUUCUUAGAGAAGUAACCCCCAGAACGGAUCCCGACAAAGUGAAACCGAACGAGCAAAAAUCGGGAACCGCUCCUGAAAAUGCUAAAUUGCUCGAGGAACUCACAAAGCGAGUCGAAGCCAACGACAAAAAAUUUGAAACAUAUGAUGCUAGGAUCGAUCAGAUCCCGGGGGCUCCGCCCAUGAUGAAAGGGCUGGAUUCAAAGAAAUUCAUACAAAAGCCUUUUCCAUCGAGCGCGGCCCCGAAACCGAUCCCAAAAAAAUUCUGUAUGCCCGUAAUUCCCAAAUAUAACGGUACGACCGAUCCCAACGAACAUCUCACCUCCUAUACAUGUGACAUCAAAGGCAACGAUUUGGAAGACGACGAAAUCAAGUCUGUAUUAUUGAAAAAGUUCGGAGAGACCCUCGCAAAAGGAGCAAUGAUCUGGUAUCACAACUUGCCACCGAAUUCUAUCGAUUCUUUUGCCAUGUUAGCAGAUUCGUUCGUAAAAGCACAUGUUGGUGCCGUAAAGGUCGCAACAAGGAAAUCAGAUCUAUUCAAAGUAAAACAAAGGGGUGACAAAAUACUGAGGGAAUUCGUAUCCCGGUUUCAAAUGGAAUGCAUGGAUUUGCCACCAGUCACAGACGACUGGGCCGUACAAGCUUUCACCCGAGGGUUGAACGGACUGAGUUCGACAACAUCACGUCGGCUAAAACAAAGCUUGAUCGAAUACCCUGCAAUAACUUGGGCGGAUAUACACAAUCGGUAUCAAUCAAAAAUCAGGGUCGAAGAUGAUCAAUUGGGAUUUCCGUAUGAACCCACGCGUCAGAACCGCACAACCACUAAAAUUCUGAAGGAAACCAACAGAGAACAAAGGUCAAACAGAGACCGAUACCAACCGUACGUCACAGAUCGGGUGAACCACGGUUCAGCGCAUGAGAUAAUUAGGAAUAACCGCAGAUAUGAUCGGGGGCAAAAUUCUCGGGGGCUUAUGAGCAAGAGAGGUUUUGAUAAACAUGUCGAUCCUAUAGAAGUUCCUCGAUCGGAAUAUAACUUCAACAUCGAUGCAUCCGCCAUCGUAUCGGCUAUCGGACGCAUCAAAGAUACCCAAUGGCCUCGACCCAUGCAGACCGAUCCGGCCCAAAGGAAUCCCAAUCAAAUAUGCGAGCUCAAAAUGGUAUAUUGUUUUCAAAAAUACUUAAAUAUAUGUGUAUCUAUCCAAGCUCAAAAUGUUAUAUAGUGUAAUGGUAUUGCGUGCACCUUUCUAAGUGAGACUAUGAGUUCAAAUUUUAUGUCAUUUUAUUAUUUUUUCCUUCUUGUUUUCCUAGAAUUAGAUGCUCAUGGGAGAUGAGUAUAUCUGGUGUCACUUUUUGCGUACUAAUUAAGUACUUUUGUUUUCUUUGUUUGAUUUAUUCUUUCAAAAUGAUCACAUAUUGAAAUUCUUAUUCUUCAUUUUUUACCGUAUAAUCUUAUAAGUAUGAUUAAAUGAACGGUAAAGGGUCAAAAAUACCCUUUUACUAUCGACAAUUGUUUAAAGAUACCCUCCCUUAUACUAAUUGAGCAAAAAUACCCCUAUCGUCUUACUAUUGAAUAAAUAUACCCCCAAGUUAACAGAGAGGCCACGUGACAAUCAUUUAAGCUAUUUGAUCCAUCCGGAUUUAUAUUUACAGUAACCUGACCCAAUAUCCGGUACCCACCCUAAAAAUUACACUUAUUCAACCACUUUUAAAUAUGAACCUAACUUUUUGGUCCUUACUUCAUCUCCUUCGUUGAAGCCUUUUAUAUACAAAUGCACUUUUAAGAACUCAAGAAAUGAAGGUCCAUCUCUAUUUGCACGUCCACAUUGAUAAACCCAAGAAAAGAAAGAUUAAAUCUCCAUAAGAGUAAAAGAUAUAAACUGUUUAUAUUUCUAAUCACUUAGAUCUAGUUAUUGUUGGCAACUUUUUAGAGUGGUAAUGGAUGACGAAGGUGAGUUUCUUUCUCGCUAAUUAUCCAAAAAUCCGAAAAUAAACCAUAUAACAAUAAGAAGAAGAAAUCAACAGAAAUUCAAUCUGAGAAUUUAAUUGCUGAAAAAUUUGUUGAAGUAACAUCAUGAGGGAUGAACGGUGUAAGCUUGUGCAACCAUUAGAAUUCGGGAAACAUGUGGAGAAGAAGAGGUUAGCUUUGAGACCAAUUUAGAGUAAAAAUAAUGGAAAAGACAGUAGCACUGAAUUAUUUGAAAGUGUAAUGACAAGGAAUCCAAGAUCAACGGUCUAUGAAGGUUGAUUGGAAGAUAUUACAGAGUUCUUUGGUAGUAUGAUUUAUGAAGCCUUUGCAGCUAAAAAUCUGAAGAUAUGAUUAUGUUUUUCUGGAUUGAAGACUUGGGGAGGGGUCGUUGUGAUGUUGAAUAAGGGUUUAAUUUCUAGGGUGGAUACUUGGUCUGGGUCGGGUCGGUGUAAAAAUAAAUUUGAAUGGGCCAAAUGACUUAAUGACUGUCACAUGGCCCCUCCGUUAACUUGGGGUAUAUUUGUUUAAUAGUAAGACGAUAGAGAUAUUUUCGCUCGAUUAGUAUAAUGGAGGAUAAUUUUAAACAAUUUUCGAUAGUUUUUCGUUAAAUGAAAUGUGUAUAUUAAAGCUAGUAACAAUGGAUGAUGUAGCAUAUAGUUAAUGAGUUCAAUUUAUCCCAACGUUUUCGACAUGGAUUAUAGAUAUAGAUGUAAGAAUAUUACUUUCUAAAAAAUAAUAAGUUUGAACUUAUAUUUUCAAAAAUAUAAUGGAGGAAAUAGUGAGAACUAAAGGUUAAACCCGUAAAAUUUAUAUCCUGGAUUCACUUCUUCAUAAUAGUGCAAUCAUCUUCUCAAAAUCUUGGAUACACCUCUGUCCUCCUUUCUUGUUUUCCUUCUUCCUCCUCUUUCUUGCUCUUCUUCCAAAAACUUAUGAGCACACUAGCUAAAAUUAAAAAGAAUGAGAUGGGUUUGUAGAACAUUAAAUAUCCAUGGCUUAUUUGUAGUUGUAAUUGAGUGUGUAAUAUUAAAUUGAGCUUAUAUUGUCUAUCCCUAUUGAUUUUGUUUGAUUGAAGAAAAAUUAAAGAAUGUCAUUAUUAAAUUUGGUGAGCUUGAUAAUUUUUUGUUAAACAAGACAAAGUAGAUCUAUUAAUUUUUGAAUGUUAGAAUUUGUAUUAGAAAGUUGAAUAUCAAUUUUGGCUUCACUUGGAUUCGUGUCAUGACCCAAAACUAUGUGACCCGCACCCGAUACAUUAUCUGACCCGAGCGAACCAACCUAUAUGAUACACCCAAACCAUAUGUAUGAAAACCAAUUUAAUUGUAGAAACUCUUUGAAAAUCAUAUAUAUAUAUAUAUAUAUAUAUAUAUAUAUAUUUUCAAGUUAAACGAUGGAAUAUUUGCCCACUUCGACAAUGCAUGAAGCAUCUCAUUAUCAUAAAAAUAAGAUUAAGUAAAAUAAAUAUCUUUUCAUGUAUGUCGUGUACAAUCCCAUUAAUACAACACUUCACAACUAUCUAUGAAACCUCUAUACCAAAGAAUAGAAUUAAAUACUCGGGUUAAUGCCCGACUAACAUAAAUUAAGAAAAUAACAUUAUAGAGUUGUUAGCAUGCCGUAUAUCAUAUCUCAUCCUAAAAUAUGUAAAGUAACUAGGGCCCUGGAGGAGAGCCCCCGAGGUUUAGUACACCAAUGCGGUACUCAAUAAGUGUCAUAGAUUCUCUCUAACUCAAGUUCCUGGGAUAAAAUUUUACAAAAAACUAUGCAAUCAUCAUUUGACAUAAAGUGAUAAACAGUUAUAUAAAUCAUGCUCUUUAUCAUUUUAAAUAAAAGGCAAGUAAAAUGUAAGUUAUGCUAUAAAAUUUUAGAACGUCUCUAUCAACACAGGAUUUUUAUAGAAAUCUUAUAAAACCAUUUUAAUCUCAUUAAAUCAUUGAAAUCAUUUUUGGCUCCUUAGGCCUAAACAUAAGAAAGCUCUCUUUUACCUUUCACUGGGAGUGUUAUACCGACACCGACAUAAUGAACAACUAUUAGGUGAUCAACCUAGCAACAAGCAUUUGACCCUACUUGUCUGGGAGACUUCCCGUAGUGCCAUACGAGUCGACUUAGCCUCAUUGCUUUAAGUAAUGAUCAUUUUUCCUCUCAAUGUAGGACUUUAUCCCACAAACCUCAGCUUAGCCUUGGAAUGUGUCCUAACAUCGGCACGUGUAGUUCCAUGGUAACGAACUCAACAUUCGAACCAAUUUCAGUGGUCUCCACUAGUAACUCCCAAAAUAUUUAACAUAUCAAAAAUAGAUUCAUAGCAUAAUCUAUUUUUAUCAAAUCAUGAUUUUCAUAGCAAAUCCAAACUAUUUGAACAAAGUUAAAUGAAUAAGCUUUUUCAUGUUAAAACCUUUAGCAAUUUAACCUCAAUCUAAAGAUACAAAAAGUGCUACCUUUAUUGAAAUUUCCAAAGACAAGCUUAUUCAUGAAAUAUAUCUUUAGCACUCAAGCAUUUUAUCAAAAUAUAAGUUUUAAUAAAACUUAUAAUAUUUUCCUUAAGCGUCAUUUUGCUAACAAGUUCGAAAAUAAGAUUUUUAUAAAAUUACAUGAUACUUCAUAAGAAAUAAUUUAGAAACACAUGGUGACAUCUUUCCCGCUUGUCCCCAAAAGUACGAAUGCACAUUUACAAAUAAUAUAAUAUAUCAACUCAAGACAUGAUUUUAAAGAGAAUCCCUCAAGAAGAGUAAGUCUUAAUCAACUUACCUCAAACUUCAAGCUCCAAAAAUACUAUAAUUCUCUAAUUGAUUAAAAUGCCCAAAUAUCGCCAACAAUUCGACAUCUACCAUUAAAUAUGCUAACAACAUAAAAACAAACCCGAAAAAAUUCAUAAAUAUCUAUUUAGGCUUCACAAGCCGGCAACAAACCUUCAAUCAUUCCAAAUUAUUCAAUAGGUUCACCCAUUAGCCUAUUCAAAUUUAUUUUUUAUCAUUUAAUACCCAUUUGGAGUCAUUAAUGAUAUUACGUAAAUUACCCAAUAUCAUCAAGUCAUUAUUCAUUGCCUUCUCCAACAAAACUCUAGGUUCAAGAACCCCAAUUUCAAGAACUAGUGUUGUAUCUUAUCCAAAUGGUUAUUUUCACUUCAAUUCGUUCAUCAAUUAAGUUAUCAAGUCUAUUGGAAUCAUUAGAAACUCAAGAUAAUUUCAUUUAUAUCAAUUCAUUACUAUUCAUCUUCUUCUUUGUCCAAAAUAUCAUUCUUAAGACCCACCCUUAAGGUUCAUACAAUAUCCCAUUACAACUUCAAAUAAAAUUCAUAAACAUGCUACUCAUACUCUAAUAUGUCAUAUAUAUGAAGCUCAAGCGAAGGGAUUACCUCUUGGUGGAAGAAUCUCAAUUUUCCUCUUUUUGGUGUUCUUGAAGAUUCAACCUAUUUCCUAUAGAUUUGACCCACAAUAAUAUUAGUUUUAUCACUAAAUGAUGUUAUAUAAUCAUCCUUAUACCAAAAUAACUUACCUUGAAGUAUAUCCAUGGUGGAAGAGCUCCUCCUUUUCUCUAGAAAUCAAUUUUAAGUUGAAGAACUAACUCUUUCUAUCUCUAAACCCCUUUUUCAGCACUUUUUAAAAUGACCCCUAAAGCUACGCAGCCUCUCUGCGUAGCCUAUGCAUAAACCCUACUCAGGAGGCCUUCCGUUGGCAAAAUCUAGAAUUGGCUAUGCAGGUUGCGGAGCCUGUUGCGUAGCUGCACUACCACCUUUUGAUAAAAAGGUCAUAACUCCUUGUAGGAACUUCCAAACGAUGAAGUGUUUGAAACAUUUGAUAGGUCAUACACCAUAUAACACUUCAUAUCUUGAGAGUUAUACUCGUUUGAAAUUAAGUCUUGUGCGAACUCAUUUAAAACUUUAGUCCAUCAUAUAACUUCCAACUUGACUUAGCCUUAGGACUUUUUUUUAGACCAUAAACUGUUUAUAAUAUACCUCAUACACAUAUUAUCAUGUUCAAAUAAUAUCAUUCAUAUCAUUAGCCCUUGCUCACACGUAAAUUAAUAUAAUUAGCACACGUCGAUCUUCUUUAAAGCCUUUAAACAUUUCAAAAUUUUCGGGGUUUUACAAUUUGAUUUUGACCAAAAUUCUGUUAAUUCGUCUAGACUUUAUAGCCAAAUUUUGGCGAUUCGUCCCAUCCGUCAGGAUUUGAUCAUAAAUCUCGGCAAUCCUUCUGGAUUGUGGCCGUAGCCAAAUUGUGAUGAUUCGUCCCACCCGCAAGUUUUUCCCAUCAAUUCUAAAUUCUGGCGAAUCGACCUAAUCCUGGUUGGAAAUCUGUUAUUUUGCAAAACCUUUCUUAAAUGAAGUCAAAAUUCAAAUAAUGGCACUGAAAUAAAGAAUUCAAUAACUUUGUGUUCCUGUUAAACAUAUACUUAAUAUGUUUCAACUUAUGUGGACAUAUUUUCUUUUUAGUUCGUGUAAAAAAGAAUGAUGACUUUCCAUAUUUAAAAAUAAUUUACCUUUAUGCAACGAUUUAUAGUUACACUAAAUAUAUGUGCCUUAUUUUGUACCACAAAUUUAAAAAUCUUCUCAUUUUUUUAAAAUUUUAUAUUCAGUCAAAUAGGUUCAAAGGAGAAAGUUUUGCUACAAAAUUGAAUCCGCACGUGGUCCCUCUAUCUGUAUUUGCAGCCAUCGGGUCUCUUUCACGUCAAAGCCAAUCAAUUUCCAUUUAUUCCUCAAAGCCGCGUAGGUGGAUCUUGUCCAUCACUUUCACCAAUCGUACAUUCUGCCCUGUUUCUUUUUCAUUGAGAUGGAAUUAACAUGGAUAGUAACUAUUCAAGUUACCUAUUUCAACUUGUUUGAAGUUGAAAUUGAGGAGUAGAUUUUAUUGUUGUUGGUGUUAAAUUACAACCCUUCAUUCUAUUUAUAUCUAUAGCAGAUGUUCUGCAAGCUGCAUCAUUAUCGUUUGGUAUAAUAUAUAGUAAGAAUUAUGGUAAUUAUAACUUUAUCCCAUAUUUGGUCUAAAUUUUGAUUUACCCUGUAUAAAGUUAUACACCAAUUUUGGUUUAACUUCGUACUACUAUCUAAUAUGGAAUAACUAAUCCAUGUAUAACUUAUACAUGGAUAAAAAAUAAAAAAAAGACAAUUAUCCAUGGCCAAUAAAAGUAAGCAUCCAAGGGUAUAAUUGUAAACUCAUUGCUUUUUAAUUAAAAAUAAAUAAAUAUUUUAACUAAUAUCUUGUAUAUUCAGUUUUAGUGCAAUACACCAAACACCCAACAAGAAAUAAUCUUUGUAUAACUGAUCCAUAUAUUACUAAUUCCUACGUAAGAAUUAUAAUUGUUUGUUAGAUCGGUUGUAAAAAUACUUAUUGUGCAAACAUUCAAUUCCGUGACAUAAUCACUGGGCAUUGUUUUGUGAAAGCGUCUGUUAUUCAACUAUCCAUGAUCUUUAUUUAUGAGCUCUAGGGCAUUUAUUCCAUGUAAUCCAGAGUGUAGUCACAAGCAUUAGACGCAACAAGAAAAAAUGGUAGGUUCAUGUAAAAUUUAGUGAGAAGUAAUAUUUUCAAAAAUUUAUAUAUCGGUUGUUACAAGGACCUCAACCUGAGUUAAAAUCUAAAAAUAAAUAAAAAUUUGCGGGCCUUAGCUUCUCUUGUCAUUCCCUACCUGCAGAAAUGGAGAAGAAAAUUCCUCUUUAGAUGUUUAAUGUACAACACACACUCCACAUCAAGAGGAUCCCAUAUACUAAUUCUGGAGCUUGCUUCAUUCCCCCAGGCCUUCAAAAAGAACAUGGGAACCUUAUUUGUUUGUGGAAUGCAGGAUCAUCUCUUUGGUGAAUGUCAACAUCCUUAAAACAACUAAGUCGAAGCUUCACCCAGGAAUAUUUCAGAACUGAUGCCAAUUUCUCCUUCUGGAGGUCGUCGUUUCCUCCCCGUAAUCAAUCAAAAUUAAUACAGCUAAGUCUAACCAAUCACUUGAAUCUAAUUCAACCUUAAAAAUAUCAAAAAUUAAUUCACAAGCAAUCUGAGGCAAAAGAUAGGCGCUUUGCAGUGAGAAGAUCACCCAUCCAUUCAUUCAUACAUCACUUGCCGCCCUUCAUAUGUAGGUUUCUCAUCCCGACAUUGACCUUUUCCACACCAGAUUCACUCUUCACCUCUGUUUGGUUUAGACUUUUAACGUUGAGCCAUGGGUGUUGCACGCACUGCUGAGCUGUUGGUCGAUUCUCUGGCUCAAAAUCAAGAAGGGGACAAAGAAAUUUGGCUAAUUCAUGGGCAUCAAUUUCAGAAAAUCUAAAUUUGUCAAUAAGUAAUUUUUCUAAAGACCCGUGCUUCAGCCUCCGGAUCCUCUUCAAAUCCCCAUAUUUGUCAAAGUAAUCUUUAGAGCGAGCCCCACCAUUGGCUAUCUGCUUUACCAACGGUAUUUAUCAGAUAUGAUGUCAACGAUUACUUGUCAAAAGAAUUCUUACAGGGUCACGAAAGCAAAACAAUGCGCUCACCUUCCGGGGCAUCUUUCCUAGAAGCUCCAUCAUCAUAGCAAGGUGAUCCUGAAACCAAAAAAGAUACUAAGAAAUACAUACAAGUGCUGCUUGUGAAAAACUUUUGAUUGUGCAAUAAAAUCCAUUGGAUAACUCCACUUCACAUGUAUAAAAAAAGCUGAUCUUAGAUCAAAAUAAACUUCGUAAACAUGUUAAUAGAAAGUGAGGGCCUUCUGCCCAUUCCAACCAUCCAGUGAUCCCCCAGUUCUCCUAGCUAAGAAGACGGAUAACAUUGAAACAAAAGGAACUGAGCACAAUAGUAACACCGAAAGAACAGGGUCAAAAAAGGGAUAGAUGAAUUUUUCCUACCUCAUCUUCACUGAAACCUUGUCCACCUUUGGGUGUGAACAUCAUCUCCCCAGUAGCAAGCUCAAAUACAAUACAAGCAAAAGACCACAUGUCAGCAGAGAAUGAAUAUCCAGACUGAAGUAUAACUUCUGGAGCUCUAUACUGCCGUGUUUGAAUUUCUUGUGCAAACUGCUUAUCAGCCCAGCAUGCAUUUCCAAAAUCCACAACCUUGCACCUUAGGUCAAUUCCAUCAAGACUUCUAUUUGCUUUCGCACCUCCCCCCACCCCACCCAUUGAAGCUCGUCUAUUAGAUAUCCUGGCUGCUGCCCUCCUUGCCCUUUGUUUUAGCUUUUUCUCAAUAAUAUUCAUUGUUGUUCCUCCAUUUGGGAUCCCUUCAGGCCUUUCAAGUAUCGGCGCUGUUCCCGAUCUAAUUGGAUCCUUUGUGGCAUUAAUCGUGGAAAGUAAAAGAACAUUUUCAAGUUUUAGAUCUGUAUGAAUAAGUCCAAGUUCCCUGUGCAAAUAAUCUAGACCAGUUAGAAUGCACUUGCAUAUUUCCCUAACUUUGUUCAGUUCAAGGCCUUUAUAACGAUUAUAUUUGACGAGGUGCAAUAAGCUGUCACCAAGAAAUUCAAGGACCAUGCAUAAAUGCUGUCCAUUUGGACCUGUAUGCUUAAAAUGGUCAAUAAGUCUAACAACAUAUUUACUAUUAGAGGGAUCACCGUCGGCGAUAGCAGAAAGUAUUUCAAUUUCGUGAAGAGCAGCUUGAGCAAAUUGUGGCGCACUUUUCUGGAUCUUCAAGGCUACAAAUCCCUACCCAAAACAAAUUUAAGUAUAUUAGACUUCAUAGUCCACCAAGAAAACAAUUCAAAAAAUCUGUAAGACUUCAAAACCAUCCACAAUGAGAAUACACAAAAGGAAAUCUACGGCACAUUCUUGUUGGAGAUAGAUUUGAAACCAGAUGUUUUUGAAGCUUUUCAUCGCCUACUAGGUGGCUUACCAUUAGAUAGACAAUGAAUAAAAAUAUUCUCCAAAGAAGAGCAAUUCUAUGUGAUUAUUCUACAUAAAUAAAAAAAUAUCCUUGAACUUCCAUGACGAAGGAAGCUAAUGGAUUGAUAUUCUAGCUCAGAAAAAUAUCCUUGAACAUAUGUUGGCUGUUGACUCCAAACCAGGUCAAAUGCCCCCCAAAAUAAAUGCUUUUGACUUGGAAACAUUCAAACUUCUCAAAUUAAAUUGUAGCUCUAUAGAGCUCAGAAUAUUUCAUUAAAAUAAAUCAUGAAACAUUUGGAGAUAAAGUUCAUUCCAAGCAUUUUUUACCCUUUAUGAUGGGCCAUAGGUCCCCAAACAGUGUUUUAACUGCAUGCACAAAAUUAUCCUCAGCAUCAAGGACUUAAAACUGCUGCUUGCGUAAGAGAUCUCACAACUUGAAAAAGAGACCUCAUAUAUGUAUCACAUUCAUCACAAACAAAAGCAUAUAUAUACCAAGUCUGACACCAUAAAGAACUGGCGACAAUGGUAAUGAUUAAAAGCCUAAAACUGAAUGGAGAUUAUUUCACUGUGUAAGCAGUAACAGACAUAUACUUGCUCAACCUGGUUGGUAUAGACAAGAAGCGUGAAGAGAAAGAAAAGAAAAGGAACCCUACUUGAGGCCUAGUGUAAUAACACUUCAGCUUUGUUAGGAAAGUCGGGGAGGGUGUCAAGUAACUAUCACCAAACAUAUAGAGAUGCAAAAACAUGUAAUACCAUCCAAAUAAACAAGAAGAUAGGUAAGGCUGAACCUGAUCAAAGUGGAUAAGAAAAAUAAUUAGGAAUAGGCAUUCCGCAUUCGGAUAUCUUGAAAUGCAGCAUAAGGUAGCAGAGUAGCAUAUGUUUGUGUGUCUUUCGGGGGGAAAGGGGAAACAUUGCCCUUGGAGAUCCUGACAAAAAGUCCUGUGCAACAACUCAGUAGCCAGAAUGCUACAAAUUUGAUCUCCAAUGUCCGACUUCAAAUCCCUGGCUGCUGCCAACUGAUCAAUCGACCAAUCAACUACUUCGCAAUCCUAAACUGGUCGGAAUCCACUAUACAAACCCUGUGUAUCCAUUCCGCUUUUUCUCCUAAAUCAGUAUCCAUCAUAGUUGGACUAUUUUUACUUUAGCUAUUGAUCUACGGCGACCUUCCUCCUUUAAAAAGGUCUAAGAGAGUAAGAGUAGCUCUGAUUUGUGGAACUCAAAUAGGUAGAGCUUCCCUCAUUAGCUCUAUUUUGGGAAAACAAAAUAGAACAGAAACGAUCUGGAAAAUAUCAGACAUCCAAACUAGUUGUUUGCUUUUGUAAUUUGUAUCUCCCAAAAAAGAAACUAGGGAAAACCGAUAGCAAUAUAAAAACUAAAUACUCACUCCUCUCAUUCAACUUGCUCAAAUAGAAUCCUCUACGACAAAAAUUCUUAAUGAAUUCAACAUAUAUCCACCGAUGGUAUCAGGUCGCAUGUACCGUUGUAGCAGGUAACUUGACUUAUUUCAAGUUACAAGUACCACUUUUUGUGGAGGGUUACUUGUAAAUAUCUCUUAAGAAACCUGAUAGUGUAAAAAUUUGUUUAAGCUGUCCCGUAUAUAAAACUCAUUCUUAAUUAACAUGUGGCAGUUAUUAUCCACCAAUUGAAAGGUACGAUUACUGAAUCAAGGUGUGAUCCAAUUUGAUUAAUCAUAGAGAAAAGAAUAACUAUAAUCGGUUGCAUAUUCCAAAUUGCAGUUCACUGAUAAAUGCAUCUCUAGUAAUGACUUAGCCACAAACAAAGACGAUCUUCAUCACUUAAGAUUAAACCUUAGGUCACAAAACUUUUCACUAAUCGUGAAAUAACAAGAGCACUAACGAUCUCAAAUAAGCAUAUAUUUUGAUGAACUCACACAAAAUCUGUGUAAAACAAAAUCACGGAAAUGAAAUGAAAUGAAAAGAGGAAAGAGUACUAAUCAAUAAAUUUCUUUUUAAUCAAAAAAGGAAGAAUUUUUUGAAGGAAUAAAAAAGACUUACGGACGAUCGAGUAUCGUAAGCGAGCCAAACGGUGGAGAAUUCACCCCAGCCGAGUUUUCGCUGAGCGAUAUAUCGGCCGCCGGAGAAUGAAUCGCCGAUUCUCACCGCAUGAUAUCCUCCUUUUCUGUAUGAAUCCAUUCCUUCAUCUUCAUCUUCCGAUGCCGACGAUGACGACGGUGAACAUGACAUGGUCGGUGAAUGGAUCAAGCCUGAUUUACACACAGUGCGUGUGAUCUACAAAAUUACUAAAUAUGUUUAUCGUUUGAUUUGAUUGAUUCUUAAAUUUGAUGAUUUUCGAUUAGAGAAGAAGCAAAGUAGAAUUCUCGUGGAAAAAGCUUUAAGAAUGAAAGGGACAGUGCGUUAAUGAGGGGUAUAUGUGGCCUUCAUUACCAUAUUCUCUCCACUUUUUCCUCUUUUCCUCUUUUCCGCCUUCCCUAUAAUUUUCUCUUUAUAUGCUACUAAUUCGUUUCAUCUUUUAUUCAAAGUUGCGACUUUUUUUGUUAAUUGAAUUGGAACAUCCAAAGUUUAAUUAAUACUACAAGCUAACUAUAGUAGACUAACUAUCCAUUUUACUUGAUUUGAAAACAUUUUAUUGAAAUAUGUAAUUACUUACUCAAUUCACUUUUACAUGUCCAUUAUAUUAAAAGACUGUUUGAAAGUGUUGAAAAUUAUUUGUAAGUGUUGAAACUGAUAUUUUAAAUAAGCAUUUAUGUGUUUGGAUAGAAGUGCUACAACUAAUAAUAAGCAGUUGAUAUAUUAAGUAAAACAAUGUUGAUAAACUAUUCUUAUGUUAAAAUGACUAAAAUACCAUUAAAAACUCUACAAAAGAUUAUAAACUAAAAAGUUCUUUUUGUAAAGAAAAUGAUGAACAACCAACAUGGAAUGAAGAAAAGGUUAGGAAAAAGUAUUGUGAAUUAAAAUUAUUAUUAAAGAUAAAUUAGUAAAAAUCUUGCUCAGACUAAAAGUCUUAUAAGCUCAAAAAUCAUAAGUUGGGGGUGACCAACUUAUGAUUUAUGACUGAUUUUAACUUAUAAGCACGGUACAUACGUCAAAAGGUGCUUAUAAGCUUAGCCAAAUAGCCUCUAAAAAUAUAUUUCACUUUUACUUGUCUAUUUUAGCAAAUCAAAAUAAACACAACCUUUUGUUUUCAUGUUUUUCCCUUAUAAUUAACUACUCAUUCCCCGAAUUAUUUUUCAAGAUUUUUUCAAAUACUAUUAUUAUUAUGGGUAAAAUUAUAAAUUACAUGCUUCAUUAUUUUUUUAAAGGAAGUGCAAAGUCAAAAGUAAAUGAUAAAAAUAAUCAGAAGGAGUAUUAAGGUUCUUUUAACACUAAAAAAUUAAUUUAUUUUCUAUCGAUAUAUAAAUUUUUACUAGUAUUUCUUAUUGCAUAUGUGAAUUUUUUUCUAUUAUUUCACUAAAUUUACAUGGAUUUCAAGAGAUGAUAGGUUUUUGUAUACAACUUCUUUUCAUGUCAUUUUAUGUAUACCUCGUUUCGCUUUUAACAUAUUCAGUUAUUCAUGGUUCUAUACAUAGAAAUUGAUGCUUUCCAACAAAAACAGUAUAAUACCUAACCAAGUUAUCUCAAACGAUUAUUAUUGGUUAAAAAGUACCAUGAGUUUUUGCUAUCUCAAAUAAUAGAAGUUGCAAUGUUGGGAACGUCUAGGAAGUAAAAGUUUCCUUUUUGUAGAUAAUGCAUUUUCACUCUUUUUCUACUUUUAUGAUUUGCCAUAUUAGAGGAGUUUUUGGAGGGUGGGGGAGGGUUGAAAAGCAGUGGCGUGCGUUAGGUAUUUGCGUUAGAAUUAGUUGAGUUAGAGUAAUCAUUUGUUGGGGGGAAGUCGUAAGAUUUGAGAACUCAGCCAACUGCCAAAUUGGGCAUUAAUCUAAUAUGAGAAAAAUGAUGUUCAUCAUCCCAUUAAUCCCAUGCGAGACUUGGUAGAUUUGAUAAUUUCCUCCACGCAACUAAAAGUUAGUUGUUUAUCUCUUAGUAUAUAUUUGUGGCCUUACUUUUUGUUUAAAUCAUUUAAAGUUGUGUUGGACAAUAUUAUAAUGUCUCCCGUUGAUUUGGAGGGUGAUCAUUCAUAUAGAUGACCUGAGACCGAUCCCCCCUCAAUGCCUUCUGGGUUGAGCUUGUCGCACCCUUACCCAAUGCGCACAGAGUGCUCAUCCGAAGGGCAGGGGUUGUAGCGGCGGCGAAUUUUUCUGGAAGUUUCCAAAAAAAAAAAAAAAAUUAUAAUGUCAUGUCAAUAUCCUAUCAUAUACAGAAAAGCUAUAUUGUAUAACCUUCUUUUAUACGGAAGAAAAUUUGAUUUUUUAAAAGUUCAACUUCUUAAAUUACUUUUAUUUUAAUGAAGUGUCAAUUCUAAUAAUGAUGCAAUAAGAAAGUAGGAAUUGAAAAUUUGGGAUGAGAGAAUAUUUUUAUUGUCUUUCACUUUCUGUAUAUUAAUUUAUAAUGUUUGGAUAAUGUUUAUAAUAGUUGGGAAUUUUUCUUUUGUCCUUUUUCUAUCUUGUUAUGCCAAUAUAUAAAAGAAUUGGUCGUUAAUUUUAGUAAUAAAGAGAGAAAGCACCUUGUAUUAAAAAAACACGUAGUAGUAUUAAAAUUUGUGUAAACAACAAAAGUUAAAGUGAAAAAUGGAACUUAGUGCGAUGUAUGACUAGUUUUUUUAUGUAUGAUGUAUGCAUGUAAAAUUUGAAUCUCCAAAUUUUCUUACCACAAAAUGAUAGACUACUCAAUCUUAUUAUGGUCGAAAUUACCGUUUGACCCAAAAAAAUUGAUUUUGUCUCUCCCAAUUAGAUUUAUUUAAAGAAAGGUUAAUCUUAGUUAAAAAUAAUAUCCAAAGAUGGAGCUACGUGUGUCAAAACCAAUAAAUAAUGUAUCAUAUCCGGAUGUAAUAAAUAUGAGCCGAAAUAGUGAUAUUCAAUGAUCUAAAAAGAUGAAUAUGACAUUAAAUAGUAAUAAAUGACAUUCAGGUAAAUAAAUCGUAUGAGUCACUCAUAAAGGGAUGAGAUCAGUGAAUAUUCUUCAUGACAAUGAUGAAUGAUUGAGAAACCUUUUGAACCUUCGUGAUGCUCUUGGAUCAGGUAGAAAUAUCGGACAAGAAUCUUGGUAAAAAGGUUAUUUUUGUAUAUAUGCGAUAAGACUAGAUUCUCUCUUACAAAGUCAAUGUAUUCUUUACAAAUCUCCACCCUCCCCCCUCCCCCCCCCCCCCCCCAUAAUUGUGUCUUUUUCUAUUUAUAGGGAACAUGUUCGUAAAAACCCUAAUAGUACAAGUGCAGAGAAUAUAUACUAGAAUAUUCUCUUUAAUGUCCUAUCUUGAAACUAGCUGUUAUAACUCUGUCAAGGAUAUUCGACCUCAGCCUCGAUCCUUGAUGACUCCUCGAUCUCAGUCCUUGCUGACUCUUUGACCACGACCUUUAUUGUUCCUUAAACCAAUUCGACAUGUGGCGGCCUCAAAAUGUUUCGCUAAUGCUAUCCGGACUUAAGUGUUCUAGAGAUAGAUUUUGACAUAUACAGUUCGUCUCUCCGACUUUGCGGGCGGGUUCGAUGAGCGGAUCAUGUUAUUGGUGGUCGAGCUAAUCAAGCGGACUACACGGGUUGUGGUUGUUACAGUGAGCAGGCGAUGUAUCUCUCUGUGGGCCGCACAUUUCAAAUGCUUCGAAUUUUCCGGGUGAUUUGCUGGAGUUAUAUUGUCCACGGGUUAGGAUGACGUCAUGCGUCAUAAUGGUGCAUAUUCCCGAUGUGUCGCUUCAUUUCGCGUGUGACCUUUGAUUAGACCUGUCGCUUCGGUUUCGGUGCCAAUCAUGAUGAACUAUUUUGGGUUGGUGCCAUGACUUUUAUAAACAGAGAUCCUUGAACUUGAUUUUGGAGUUUAAACCCUCUAAGGUUUCGAAACACCACACCUUUCUCUUGCUCUCUUCUUCUCCGAAUUUCUUUUCUCUGUUUCAUUGACCUAUAAGGUUCUACUAUGUUGAAUCAUGUCUAACGUAUCUUCUGAUGCUGGUGAGGGGAGUCAUGUUGCUCCCUUGGCAGUGGUGUUCCCCUCCCAUGGGGAGAGCGUUUAUGCUAUUUUUGAGGAUGAAACCUUCCCGUCGGGGGAGGAAAUAAUCCCGCAUAAUCCUGAAUCCAGGUCAGACCUUACCAAAGUACCAGACGUCGCACUUAGAGUCUUUAAAUCAACAAUGACGCCUAAGGAAUUGGUGGAACUUAAGGCCAAAUUCAGCUUUCUAAACCAUGUUGAGGUGAUCCCGGCUGAGGGGGACGUAGUACAGGUCCAUCACUCUAGGUACUGCGCUCUUUAUUCCUACUACUUCCUCAUCGGCUAUUCUUUUCCCCUACUCCUACUAGUGGAGGAAUUUUGUCGUCAUUACAGUGUCUGCCCGACUCAGCUUGCACUGUACGUCUACAAAGUGAUUAAGAUGUUGACCUAAUUCUCCGAGCUGGCUGGGAUCGAGCUAGCGCUACGGCACUUGAUACAUCUAUUCGCCCCUGGCUUUUAUAGGGGGGCGAUGAUGUACCUUUGCCACCAAGGAGGCAAAUAUUUGGUGGUGAAGAUGGACUACAAAUCUAAUCGUCAGUUCUGGCUUAACUUCUUCUUCGUCAGGACCGAGGACGUCAUGGCCUUUCCUAAAACUUCGAACUAUACUCGUGAGUGCCCUGUUUCUUUCUACGUUUGUUUGGUCCUAAAUUUUGAUUUUUUUACUUUUCUCUUUUGCAGCCAACGGCCAGCCUCCCCCUUUGUCUGCUCACAUCUCUGACUAGGUCGAGCGACUCCUCCCUCACAUCGUAAGGAUCCGUGAUUGGACAAGUUUUUUCAAGAAAUUCAAGCCUGCUCUCCCUUCGACUGGUAAUUUCUUUUCUUUGAUCGUGGUUGUUCCAUUUCCUAUUGUGUAUGGAUUUGUUUUGCUAAAUUCAUGUUGUCUUUUUCUCAGGCAGGGGAUCUUCUCGGAGGUGUCGGGUACCAGUGCCAUUUUUUCGAAGGACGGUUGCUGCAUCUUCGGCUUCCAUUCCUGUUGCGCCUACUACGUCUUCUGUACCGGUCUUAACCUCAACUUUCGUAGUUCGACAGCCCGUCUCCGUUCCAUCUACAACUUCUGCUCCCCAACUCUUUUCACUAGUUGAUGAGGACGACGUCUCUCCUGAUAGUAGUGGUCUAAUGCCUCAUAAGAGGAGAGUCGUAGAUACGGGGGGGAGAGAGGCCGUCAGCAUUGAUGUGGGAGAUUGUGACUUUGUUCUUCGAGAAAUGGUCACAGUGCAUAUUGGAGAGAGCCCUGAGGCAAGUCCUGAGGCCCCUCACUUGGAGGAAAUAAGCACGCGUUCUGUGAGGGACACAGCCGAUGGCGAGGUGUAUAAUGACGGCCCUACACUUCCGAGGCGCAAGGAGGCCUCAUCUUCCAGUCGUGGUGGACGUCCCUUCUUCGAUAGAUGAUAGAAGGAAGGUAGUCACUGAGGAGGACGUUGGAUCUAACUCCGACAUGGAUAUGGACGAGUUGAGGAUGAUCGAUAACAGACUCACUCAACUCGAAGUGAGGUUGGAAGGGGGUUCAAGGACUAUUGCGAUCCCGAUGGAUCGUAAUCUACUUGUAAACACCAAUGAAAUAGUCCCUACCAUUGGUCCUCUUUGAUCUGAAAUUGAGGGUACGACCUUCGAGAUGAUAGAUGAUAGCAAUUUGUCUAAUAACAUUGCUGGCCUUGCUCUCCGAGUAAGUAUAACUGUCGACCGUUCUUUUCAUUUUGUUUUGCUUUCUUUCGUAAGCUCUAAUUUCAUUUUGUAGAUAGUUAUUUUGGAGAUCGAGAGUGCUCGUCGGGAGCAGAAACGUAAAGAUAUUUACGUGAAGUUGAAAGACAUGUAUUUUAAAUGUCUUGAAAAGUAUCGGGAGUACCAGUGUCGGCUCCGCGAGGGUGGCAAUGUACGCCAGCUGAGGGAGGAUUUGAAGGAGAGGGACGAGGAUUUAAUGCGGGUUGUGGAGAAAUGCAGCAUCUUAGAAGAGAUUUUGAGGGCAAAGGGGCGGAUCUCGAGCUUAGCAGGGGCGUAGAAGCCCAAUGUAGUGAUCUCCAAGCCCAAGUGGUCCUGCUGCAAGGCCAACUCAAAGAGUGUCAGUUCAGGGCGAAGGAUCUUAGUGACGAGUUGCCGAGAAGCAAGAGGAGCUAGAGAAGGCGGAGUCUGCUCGGUCGGAAGCUCUGGGGAGGGCGGAGUCCCUUGAAGUGGCGAUCCGAACUCUUUGUUCUGAGCGAGAAAAUGACUUGUCGACGGCAAGGCUUAAAGAAUAGUGUCUUGAUGAAAGGAUUGGGAAGUUGGAGAAAGAAACCUCUGACCUUUAUAAUCGGGUUGCUGCUCUGGAGGCUGAGAAGGCCAAACUACUUGAUCAACCUUCUUUAUUUGCGGGUUCUGGCUUCCCCAACGUUCCUUACGAGUUGUAUGAAGAGUGGAUUCAUGCUGAGGUCUGAUUGGAUGUGCUUCGUGAGUUACAUGUAGCGGGCUCCGUUCCUGCCACAUACUUUGAGGAUGCUCGUGUCAAGCCUCGCGAUGCUCGGAUUGCUGGUGGCUAUAAUUCGACUACUCCUCGUCAUGGUGAGGAUGCCAUAGAUCACCUCGAGGACGAGGCCUGGUAUGAUUCCAUAUACCCUUCGGGCGAGGAUGGAGAGGGCGUUGAGGGUCAGACCGAUGAAGGUGUCACGGGUCGUGAUGGUAGUGAUCAACAGUAGUUCUUUUUUGCUUUUUCUGAAGUUUUUGUGUAUUUUUGCUGGCAUCUUUAAGAGACUUUGUAAGAAACCUUCGUUUAUAAUAUCAAAGUUGGCUUUUGCUUUUAUUUGCACCUUUCUUAUUUGUUGUGGUUUAUUUCUAUACUUUGCAUGUUUUUCUCCUUCAUGCUUUUGUCAUUGUCCUUGUAUAUUUCAAAUUUUAUCGGAACGAGGCCGAGGAUUAAUAGGCAUUAUUCGAACUUGGUCAAAUCUUAACCUCUCUAAAUCGCGGACGAGGGCCGGUAGGUGUUUUUCAUACUUAGUCGAACUUAUCUUUUAUUAAUCUCGACCGAGGGCUGGUGGGUGUUGUUCGAACUUGGUCGAACUUAUCCUUUUAUUAAUCUCGGUCGAGGAACGGUAGGUGUUGUUUGAGCAGGGUCAAACGUGACCUUGUCUUAGUCAUGGUCGAGGUCCAAUAGGUGUUGUUCGAGCGGGGUCGAAUAUAACCUUUUCAUAGUCAUGGCCAAGGGCCAAUAGAUAUUAUUCGAGCGGGGUCGAACAUCACCUUUUCAUAGUCGUGGCCGAGGGCCGAUAUGUGUUGUUUGAGCGGGGUCGAACAUGACCUUUUCAUAGUCGUGGUCGAUGGCCGAUAGCUGUUGUUCAAACGGGGUUGAACAUAACCUUUUCAUAGUCAUGGCCGAGGGAAAAUAGGUGUUGUUCGAGCGGGGUCGAACAUAACCUUUUCAUAGUUGUGGCCGAGGGCCGAUAUGUCUUUAUGAUGAAUGUACGUUUCUUAUUACUUUGAUGUUGCUGCUCUGAUUACAUGAUUGGAGAGAGUUACAGAUUUUUUGGGCAUUGGCUGGCAUUCCAGUCCCUAGUCCUAGUCUAUCUAGUCCCUUCAUUGCUUGACUUGGAGAAUUUUGAGGAGUUGGGAAAUGAAAGAGAAAAAAUAGCCCCUCCCUCGCAUACUUUGACUCGAAGCGUUCCUUUUACCGCCUCGUUAAAAACCUCCUUGAGAAAACCCUAAUGGGACAAAACUCAAGUGAGGGAAAAAGAGUGCGGGUAGGGGGCACAUUUUCUCUUAGAAGUUGAAGUAUUUGAGGUGACUCAUGUUCCAAUUGUUUGGUAAUUAUUUUCCUUCCAUUAUCUCUAAUUGGAAUGAACCCUUGUUUGCUUUGGCUGUGAUUUUAUACGGACCGUCCCAGUUUGUUCCUAGCUUGCCUUCUCGUGGGUUUUUGCUCGCUUGAGUUUUGGCCUUGAGUACAUAGUCCCCAACUUUAAGCGGCCGGACCUUUGCUUUCUUGUUAUAAUAACGUUUUGCUUGCUGUUUUUGGGUGACCAUCCUUAUGUACGCCAAAUUUCUUCGUUCAUCAAUUUCAUCGAGUUCCUGCUUUCUACUCUCAUCAUUACCAGUACCGCUUUUGUGGGAGUAUCUUAGAUUGCACUCCCCGACUUCGACUGGUAUAACUGCUUCAGUCCCACAGACCAAAGAGUAGGGUGUCUCUCAUGUGCUCGUCUUUGGGGUAGUUCUAUACGCCCAUAAUACUUCUGGCAGUAUCUCCGGCCACAGUCCUUUGGCGUCUUCGAGCUUUAUCUUCAUGAUGUAAAAUAUGGACUUUUUGGAGGACUCUACUUGUCCAUUACCCGCUAGGUGAUACAGGGUCGAUAGUAUCCUCAUGAUAUGCCAUUUCUUGAAAAAUUCAACGGUUUUCUUUCUCGUGAACUAGGAUCCGUUGUCGUAGUUGAUUUCUUUAGGUAGGCCGAAUCGGCAGAUGAUAUUCCUCCAUAUAAAGGUGAUUACCUCGUGUUUCUGUAUUUGGGUGAAUGCUCCUGCUUCCACCCAUUUAAAGAAAUAGUUAGUUUAAACCAAAAGGAACCGUAUAUUACCUCGCCCUGUUGGGAGGGGGGCCAUGAUGUCCAUUCCCCAUUUGAUGAACGGCCACGAGGAGGUGACUGAGUGGAGGUGUUCGCCUGGUUGGUGAUUCAUUGGGGCAUACUUUUGGCAUUGUUCGCAUUUCCUCACAAAGUCUAAGGCGUCCUUUUUCAUGGUGGGCCAAUAGUAUCCUGCCCGUAUGAGGCAUCUAACGAGUGCUCGAUUGCCGGAGUGAGCACCGCAAUUGCUUUCAUGGACUUCUUCGAGGACGCGUUGGGUAUGGUUAGGGCCAAAGCAUUUUGUUAGAGGGCAUCCGUAAGUCCUCUUGUACAUGUCGCUAUGGAGGAGACUGUAUCUGGCUGCUUGCAUUAUUAGUUUUUUGGCUUCUUUUUUGUCGUUUGGGAGUGUGUCGUCCUGCAAAUAGGCAAUAAUACGAUUGUGCCAAUCCCAAGUUAAGCUUAUGGUUCUUACCUUGAUUUGGUCUAGUGAUGAGUUGAGGAGGUGGACUACACUUUUAUCUUCGGCCGUGAUGCUUUUGGUAGAUGCGGCCAACUUGGUGAGGCCGUCUACUUUGGCAUUCUGCGCACGCGGGAUCUGGUCGAGCUGUCAUUCGUCGAACUCGGGCAACAGCAUACAGAUCUCGGUCUGUUAUUUUUGCAAUAUUUGUUCUUUGAUUUGGAAAGUCCCUGUAACUUGGUUAACCACGAGUUGGAAAUUGCAGUGGAGUUUCAACCGCUUCGCCUCGUACUUGAGUGCUAGUCUCAAUCCUGCAAUUACGGCCUCAUACUCGGCCUUGUUAUUAGUCAUCCGGGCACCUUAUGGACUGUGAAUUACUUCGCCUGUAGGAACCUUGAGUACGAGUCCUAGUCUGGACCCCGAAGCGUUGGAUACGCCAUCAGUAUUAUCACGACCCCAAGUUCCCUCCGUAUGAUGUCGUGACGGCACCUAGACUCUAAGACUAGGUAAGCCUAACAACAUGUGAAAUAAUUGAAGUAUAACUUAAAAUCUCAAAUUUCAUCAAUUACAUAAAUAAAAUCUAUAACUCAAUAUGUACAACUCUCAAAACAUGGUGAAAUAUAAGUCACAAGCUCUAAUUUACAAAGUUGAACAAUCCUAUACAUCACUGUCUAUAAUAGUGUAAUAAAAUAAGGAAGAACAAGAUAGAAGGGGACUCCGAGGCCUACGGACGCGGGUAGGUGUACCUUGAAGUCUCCAAAGCAACCUCAGCUCACUAAUGCUGGGACUGAUAGGAAGUACUUGGAUCUGCAUAAAAAGAUGUGCAGAAGCGUAGUAUGAGUACACCACAACAGUACCCAGUAAGUGCCGAGCCUAACCUCGGUAGAGUAGUGACGAGGUCAGGUCAAGGCCCUACCGGAUAUAAUAAGAAACAAGACGAAAGAUAUAACGAUAUAAUGAAAAUGACAAUGAAAAUGAAAUAAUAAGGAAUUUACCAAAAAUUAACAACACAGAAUCAAGGCAGUUAAUACAAUACGAAAGGAAACAAGGAUUAACAUGUUAAGGAAACAAACAAUCAAGACGAAUACAACAAAUAGAGAAAGAUAAAAAAGGGCCACUACCGAGGUACCGCCUCGUAGUCCCAAAUAACAAAAGUAACUCACAGUAUUUCCUUAUAUCACUGCGGGAGCCUUUACAUUUAGUUUUGAAAAUUAUUUUUUCCGAAAUAGCACCCCGCGUUUUAUCCCAUCUUAUCACACAACAUGACUUCUAGUAGUUCCCCUACUAUCCACGUAUAUCAAGCCUACCUUAUCUCACCGCAUAUGUUUUAACACUCAGACCUUAUACUACCACAUGCGUAUCAAUAUCACAAUUCGCACCUGAAGUGCCCAAUAUAACAACUUGCCAAAAAAUCCAACGAUGACAGAAUUUCACAAUAAGGAGCCCACGGCUCAACCACAAUGUACACAAAGUCUCAACAAUAACAACCGGAGAGUAACUCAAUAAAAUGAUAUUUCACAACUUACACUUUGCCUCAAUAGAAAUCACGGCCUUUGCAACUCAAUACCAAAGUCAACAACAAGAUAUUCCAAGAAUAGCAAUUUUAAGUAAAGAAUUCAACAGUUAAAUUACGAACACGAAAUAAAAGAAAGCAAGUAAUUCAACUAAACAUGUAGGACAAGUUACAAAUAAGAGACAAGACAAGUAUACAUGUGAAAUUAGACUAAAUAUGAUGAUUAUAACAGGUUAAAGUAACUCAAUUAAAGCAUGAAAGGAACUACAUAGCUAAAAACCAAAAUUUUAAUAUUUAGCCCGUGUACACACUCGUCAACUUGUGUACACGGCCUUCACAUAUCAUAAUUAUCACAACAAUACCAAAUCCUAAGGGGAAUUUUCCCUCACACAUGGUUAGACAAGUCACUUACCUCAAAUCACACUAAAUCAAUCAACUAGAAGGCCUUUCCCUCAAUUUUCCAACUCUGAAUGGCUAGAAUAUAGCCAAAACAAUUUUAUACCAUAAAUAUAACUAUAAGAAACUAAUUCAAACAAUGAAAUUACGAUCUUUGCAAAGAAUUAAAAAAUCACCCCAAAAAGUCAACCCGGGCCCGCGUCUUGAAACCCGACCAAAAUUAUGAAACACCAAACACACAUUAGAUAUUGAGUCCAACCAUACAAGAAUUAUUCAAAUCCGACCUCAUUUCGUCUUUCAAAACUAAAAAUAUUAGCCUAAGGAAUUUCUACCAAUUUUUUCCAAUUUUCAACUCCAAAGCACCAAUUAAAUGAUGAAAUUAUCAAUAGAUUCAUGUGAAUUAACAAAAAUGAGUUAGAAUUAUUUACCCCAAAGUUCUUUCUGAAAAUACCUCGAACUUUCACGCCAAAUCGAGCUCUCUAAGUCCCAAAAUGAAUUAUGAAUCAAACCCUCGAAUUUUCCUCCUUUUCUGCCCAGUUAAAUCACACAUGCGAUCUUACUGCCGCAUCUGCGGCUCCGCACCUGCGGAAUUUCCAUCGCAGGUGUGGAUUUCACUUAACUCAGAAACUCUGCUUAUGCGGACAAGACAUCGCACCUACGAGUGCGCUCAUGCGGAGUAUUCUCCGCUUCUGCGAAGAAGACCAAGAAGCUUCUUUUGCAUCUGCGACCACCUCUCCGCACCUGCGGACGCGCAGAUGCGGUCCACUCCUCCCACUUGCGAUCCCAACUGGGCUAAUCCAUUUUAUCACCUGCGAUCACCAGCUCGCUUUUGCGAGCUCGCACCUGCGGUCAAUCCCUCCGCAGGUGCGAUGACACCAGAACAGCCCAGCUUCAGUAAUCUUAAAAAUUCAAACUUGUUCCGGAUUAGAUAUGAAUCACACCAGGGGGCCCUAAGACCCCGUCCGAAUAUACAAACUAGUUCCAAAACACAUAAAGGACCUACUCGAGGCCAAAAAUCACAUCAAACAACUUAAAUUCUAUGAAUCGCAACCCAAAUUCAAGCCUAAGCAACUAUGAACUUCCAAAUUCUGAAAGCAACGUCGAUUCAUACCAAAACAACUCCGAUUCACAUCAAACUUUGCACACAAGUCAUAAAUGACAUUAAGGACCUAUUCUAACUUCCAAAAUCGUGAUCCGGCCUCAAUAUCAAUAAAGUUCACUCUCGGUCAAACUUUUCAAAAUCUUCUAACUUUUGCCAAUUCACGCCGAAAUGACUUACAGACCUCCAAAUCAACAUCCGAAAAUGCUCCUAAGACCAAAAUCACCCUACAGAGCUAUUGGAACCAUAAAAACUCCAAUCCAGAGUCAUCUUCUCACAAGUUAAACUACUGUCAACUUCUACGACUUAAACCUCCAAUUUAGAGACUAUGUGUCCCAUUUCACUUCGAAACUCACCCGAAACCAAAACCAACCACCUCGGCAAGUUACAUAACCAAACCAUAUCAUAUAGGGAGAAAACUAUAGGGUAUUGAGGCUAAAAUACUCAAAAUAACUGGCUGGGUCGUUACAGGUAUAUAAGACCCAGAGGUCUUGCGUUUGGAGGGAAGUGUGGACGGCUUCCUUCUUGACUUCAAGAAUUAUCUUUGCACUAAAGUCUACGAUGAAUUCAGCAAUAACUUUCUACUUUAUCGAUGUUUGCAGUUGGUAUGUAAUAUCAUGCUCGCUUAGCUCGAUAGCCCACUUGGCCAGCCUCCCCGAUAGCUCGGGUUUAUGCAAAAUGCUUCUCAGGGGAAAUGUUGUAGUGAUCGAGAUAAGGUGGCACUGAAAAUUGGGUCUAAGCUUUUGUGAAGCUAUGACCAAUGCCAUAGCUAGUUUUUUGAGGUGUGGGUACCUCGUCUCGGCGUCGACGAGUGUUUUACUAAUGUAAUAGAUGGGAGAUUGCGUACCUUUGCUUUUGCAGAAUAGUACUGCACUUACUACUACUUCAAAGAUGGCUAGAUAGACGAUGAGGUAUUCCCGAGGUUCGGGCUUUGAAAGCAGAGGUGGUGAUGAUAGAUAUGCCUUCAGUUCUCGCAGAGCUUGGAUAUACCCGAGAGUCCAUUUGAGAUAGUUGUCCUUUAUGAGAACGCCAAAAAAUUUGUCAUAUCUAUCAGACGACCGCGAGAUAAAUGUCGAUAAGGUGAUGAUUCGACCAGUCAACCUUUGGACUUGUUUCUUGGUAGUCAAGAGUUCUCGUAUCCCCUCGAUAGCUUUGAUUUAGUCUGGGUUGACCUCGAUCCCCCGUUGUGACACCAAACGUGCAUUUUUAUAGAUUUAGUUUCAUUCUUUACCGUCUUAGUAUAUCAAAAGCUUCCUUUAAAUGAUCGAUAUAAUCCUCUACCUUUACGGACUUGACCAGCAUAUCGUCUAUAUAUACUUCUAUGGUCUUGCCGAGCUGGUCUUUGAACAUCUUCGUGACCAAUCUUUGAUAUGUGGCUUCUGCGUUCUUCAGCCCAAAUGGCAUGACCCUAUAGCAGUAUGUUCCCUUGUGGGUGAUGAACGUGGUUUUCUCCUGGUCCUCUUCUUACAUAAGUAUAUGGUUAUAACCUGAGGACGCAUCCAAGAAACUCAGCAGCUCAUGUCCGACCAUUGCGUCGAUGAGUUGGUCGAUGUGUGGCAACGAGAACGAGUCCUUUGGGUACGCUUUAUUUAAGUCCGUGAAAUCCAUGCACAUCUGCCAUUUCCUAUUUUUCAUUUUGGCCAUCACUUUGUUGGCGAUCCAUUUGGGGUACUUUGAUUCCCUGAUGGAACCAUUUUUUAAUAUUUUCUCCACCUUCUCGUGGACGGCAUCGUUGAUAGCGGGAUUGAAUUUACGUCUGGCAUGCCUUAUUGAGGGGUAGAACGGGUCGACAUUUAAUUUGUGUGUGGCGAUCUCCUUGGGGAUGACCGACAUAUUUGCAUGGCUGAAGGCAAACAAAUCUGCAUUAGUUGUUAAGAAUUGACAGAAUUUACCUGGAUCUCAAAGUUUGCAACUGAUGUAGGACUUUUUGCUAUAGUCAUUGGGGUUUAAUUUAACGAGGUCAGGGUCAUCUAUGGUCGAGUCCGUAACCUCGACCAUUUUGGGAUCCAUGAUAACGUCCUUAGUCUCAUCUUGUGUCGACCUCGGGCAUGUUGAUUGUUAUGCCUCUUUUUCUCUCUGUUUUUUUCUGUUGGGUUGUCGUGGUAUCUAAGGCAAUGCGGUAGUACUCCCGGGAUAUACGUUGUUCUUCGCGUAUGCUGAAUAUUCCCGAAGGUGUUGGGAAUUCAAUUACUUGGUAUAGGCUGGAGGGGAUAGCUCUCAUGGGAUGUAUCAACGGUCGUCCCACUAUGGCAUUGUACGCGGUGGCCUGAUCCAUGAUGUGGAAUAUCGUGUCCAGCGUCACGCCACCGGCCAAGACGGGGAGUGUAAUUUCUAACAUGUUGUACUAUUCCUAGAAAUCGUAAUAGUACAAAUGCAGAGAAUAUCUACUAGAAUAUUCUCUUUAAUGUCUUAUCUUGAAACUAGCCGUUAUAACUCUGUCAAGGGUAUUCGACAUCGGCCUCUAUCCUUGCUGACUUCUCGACCUCAGUCCUUGUUGACUUUUCGACCACGACCUUCAUUGUUCCUUAAACCACUUCGACACGUGUCGGCCUGGGAAUGUUUCGCUAAUACUAUCAUGACUUAAGUAUUCUAGAUAUAGAUUUUGACCCAUACAAUUACUAAAAUAGUUAACCAAUUGAAAUAGUUCACAUUAACAUUUCCAAUUAGUCACUGCCUAUGCGUGUGGCAAAUAUGAAAACUUGAGCAAUUUAGAUUUCUAGUUAUAUCACAAGAAAAAUUUAGACGUCUUUUUUCUUCUUGUGUAUUAUCUUCUCUUUUGAAAAGGAGUGACCUAUUGAACACUUAUUCUAAGCUAACUUGUGCCUAUUGAACACAAAUUUAACAAUCAUACACCAAAUUGAGUGCGGGGCAGAAAUAUACAGCCUAGUUAGUAGGAGAGAUGCAUCAAAAAGGAUCCUGAUUGGUCAUGUUAACUGCAGAAAUGCCAACCAGAACAUCAAUCCUUCUAUGUUGAACUCAUGAUAAGAAAGCUAUGACAAAUAUUACAACAUUCUGCUUAAGGUUCUAUCCAACAAUGUUGUUUUUUUAUUUAAAAAAUUCCUCUUUGACAAAUAGGUAGACAGAGAAAAAUAAAUUAAAAGGGAGCUCAACAUUCUUAAGAUAAACUCAAACUUUUAUUGUACCUAGCUCAUUUGCACAUUAAGUUUAAUUUAAAAUGUUAAAACUCUGCUCCAAACUUCAAGAUAAGUUUUAGACUUUUUCCCUGGCCUUUUAAACGACAAGUUUAGCUUUUGAUAUGGCACUUAAAAUUUUAGGCUGAAUACAUAGACAGCUCCUCAGAGUUGUUCAAACUUUUUAUUUCGACACUUGAAGCAGUGACCUAUUGAACACUUAUUCUAAGCUAACUUGUGCCUAUUGAUCACAACUUUAAUAAUCAUACACCAAAUUGAGUGCGUGACAGAAAUAUACAGCCUAGUUGGAGGGAGAAAUGCAUCAAAAGGCUCCUGAUUGGUCAUGUUAACCGCAGAAACACCAACCAGAACAUCAAUCCUUCUAUGUUAAACUCAUGAUAAGAAAGCUAUGACAAAUAUUACAACAUCCUGCUUAAGGUUUUAUACAACAAUGCUAUUUUUUUAAAUUUAAAAAACUCAACAACAACAACAACUCAGUAUAAUCCUACUAGUAGGAUAUGGGAAGGAUAGUUUGUACGCAGACCUUACCCUUACCCUAGGGUAGAAAAACUGUUUCCGAUAGACCAUCGGCUCCCUCCCUCUAAGAACUCCUCGCCUUACUCUUGAAAUGACUCGAACUCAUAACUUCUUGGUUGAAAGUGGAAAAUGUUCACUAAUAGAAUAACUCACUCUUGUCAAAUAAGUAAAUAAAGGAAAAUAAAUUAAAAAAGAAUCUCAACAUUCUUAAGAUAAACUCAAACUUUUAUUAUACCCAGCUCAUUUGCACAUUAAGUUUAAUUUAAAAUGUUAGAACUCUGCUCCAAACUUCAAGAUAAGUUUUAGACAUUUUCCUUGGCCUUUUAAACGCAAGUUUAGCUUUUGAUAUGACACUAAAAAAAAUUAAUUUUAAAUUGAAUACAUAGACAUUCCCUCAAAGUUGUACAAACUUUUCGUUUAGACACUUGAACGAAAGCAGUGACCUAUUGAACACUUAUUCUCAGCUAACUUGUGCCUACUGAACACAAACUUAACAAUCCUACGCCAAAUUGAGUGCGUGAAUAACACUUGCUCUUGACAUGGUAAAUAAAACAAACAAAAAAAGACAUGUCAGCAAACAAAAGUCAAAGUUCUGAAAAAUGAGAGAGAGAGAGAGAGUGGUCGGGAAAAAAAAAGUGGGCAGGAGGAGUUGGCCGAAAAAAAAGAUUCCCAAAUUUUCACCUCUCCAGCAAUAAUUUUUUUACAGUAACUAUGUCAAGUUUGAAUCUAAAGAAGAAGAAACUCCAUUAUCCUGGAAAGAAAAAAAGAGAAAGAGGAAGAAAAAUCUGAUCUGGAUCUUUCAAAAAGAUUCCCGGCGAUCUCCAUUUUUGCUGGCAGCAGUGUUUUUCCCCAGCGGCGAUGCUUCUUCAAAUCCACAAAUGGGCUUUAAUUAAACUUCAACCGCAACAAGAUGAGAACAAUAGUAUUAGAUCUUUUUUACUCUUUUCUUUGAUUGUUUAUUCCCAAGAUUUGGCAGAAACAUUUUUUACCAUAUUAGUCAAGGCUUUAAGAUAAAUUCCUUAGUCAUAACUCUCAAUUCUUUCCUGUGUUAUUACUCUGUAUUGCUAUAAUAAAUAAUUAAAUUUUUAAAAAAAAUAAAAUAGAGUAAUACUUGUUUAACGAAAUAGAUUCUGGAAACAAAAAACAGUAUAGGAAUAAAUCGAGCUCACUGAAUACACAGUGUAUCCUUAAGGAAAUUAUUCCCCUCAAGUACCCGAGGUGUUGAAAUAUAUCCUCCCAGGAUAUAACGAUUUAACUCACUAGUAUAUUAGUACCAAAAAUUCUGAUUAACUGCAAACCACUCAAUGGUCGUAAAACACACUAAAAUAUAUUGUGUAGAAGAAGAAGAAGCUUAUAAAAUUUCGUAAGGAAAGAUUCUGGGAUUCAAACUCUAUUUAUAGAGUUGCUGGCAUUGUUUCUGAAAAGGUUUGCAACCUUUCAGAAACAGUCAUGGCUGUUGGAAAAGGGGUGUUUGAAAUAUUGCGGGAAUUUUUUUUUAAAAAUAAUCCGGAAAAGAAAACGGGCCUGACCGAAUCGGGUCGAGGGUCAUGGGUUAUUCCGGAUUGAUUUUUUCGUUAUUUAUUUAAUUAAUUAAUUAAAUAAUUGAAAGAAAUUUUGUCCAAAAAGAUUAAUCAAUCAAUCUUUGACCGAAGUCGAAGCCGAGCGAGCGACGACGACGGAGCGAGGCUUGCCUUUUUCUUAACUCUUUAAGAGGUAGAAGAAGAGCAAUUAUAUAUAUACUCAUCAAAAGUCUUUUCUUUCUCCGAUAUGGAACAAUGUCUCUUUCCCAAGGGAAACUCAAAUAUUUUAUUUUCCCUCCAUUUCUCGUUCAGCCUCUUUAAAUUACACAAGCUUAAAAUUCCAACACCAUAUUUAAUAGUAGCGAUGAUAAUGAUAUCUUUAACAGAUUCAAGGCUUCCAAACUAUGAGUUAAAUCUAAACAAGUACUGUAUUUUAGUGGUGAUCGAUCAUAACUACAUUUACAAGAACCUCAAGCUAUGGAAUCACAGUAUAAUAUUGUAAACACUUAUUGGGAUAACUCUGUGGGGAUUCACCCAAAAAAAGAGUGAUUAAAAAUGAGCCUGAACAGAAUAGUGUGAAGAAGAAGAAAAAAUAGGUUUGGAAAAAUAGCAGAAAAAUGAGUUUGAAAGAAGUACAACAGAAAUGGCCAGAAAUUAAUGGUGGAAAAAGGGGAGCAAUGAGGAAUCUAGUUGUCAAGGAAGAAUAAGGAAUCUGGAGGUGUAACCCAGGCCUUUCACGAGCUUGNNNNNNNNNNNNANNNNGAUGUGUAAAACACUUGUAGUGCCAUGUGAGCAAUGUGUGUUUGUAGAUGCACAUUGAUAGAGGCUGAAGUGUCUCAUAGGUAAACCCCUUAGUUAAGGUGCCUAUAUGAACUUUUACGAACUUGUAAUGAAAGAACUCCCAAAAUUUAUAAUCUACAUAAGUUUUUAUGAAAAAUUGAAACUUCUUAGCUAAAACUUUGCAAAAUGCUUUAUUUUUCGGAAACGGCUUAAAAAUGAGGUCGUUCUGGUGUGACGACCCGAUAGGUCGUCUUGAGUUCUAGCCCUUAUUUUCGUGUUUCGAGACUUCUAUUAGCUACAUUUAGUAUUUUUCGAUUUGCGUACGCAAUCCGUGUCUUGUUCAGGAAAGAUUUAAUGUGAAUUUUUUUAAAAAAAAAAAAUUAGCUUUAAAAAUGAUUUGAGUUGACUACGGUCAAUAUUUUGUGUAAACAAUCAUCGGCAUUUUGACGAUCUCGGUGGGUCUGCAUCGUGAUUUUGGACUUUGGCGUAUGCAUAGAAUUGAAUUCGGAAGUCCCUAACUUGAUUUUGACUUGAUUUAUUGAAAACUAGUAACUUGAAGGUUUAAAGAUUUCUAUUGCUGCCAGGUUCGGAUUUCGGUUCCGGAACUUGGUAUAGGUUCAUUUUACUAUUUAAAACUUGUCUGCAAAAUUUAGUGCAAAACAGAGUUGGUUUGAUAGGAUUCGGAUGCUCGGUUGUUAAUUUGGAAGUUCUUGAGUUUCUUUGAAAAUUUUAUGCAUUUUGAUGUCUGAUUCCAACACCAUAUUUAAUAGUAGCGAUGAUAAUGAUAUCUUUAACAGAUUCAAGGCUUCCAAACUAUGAGUUAAAUCUAAACAAGUACUGUAUUUUAGUGGUGAUCGAUCAUAACUACAUUUACAAGAACCUCAAGCUAUGGAAUCACAGUAUGAUAUUGUAAACACUUAUUGGGAUAACUCUGUGGGGAUUCACCCAAAAAAAGAGUGAUUAAAAAUGAGCCUGAACAGAAUAGUGUGAAGAAGAAGAAAAAAUAGGUUUGGAAAAAUAGCAGAAAAAUGAGUUUGAAAGAAGUACAACAGAAAUGGCCAGAAAUUAAUGGUGGAAAAAGGGGAGCAAUGAGGAAUCUAGUUGUCAAGGAAGAAUAAGGAAUCUGGAGGUGUAACCCAGGCCUUUCACGAGCUGGCAAGAUGUGUAAAACACUUGUAGUGCCAUGUGAGCAAUGUGUGUUUGUAGAUGCACAUUGAUAGAGGCUGAAGUGUCUCAUAGGUAAACCCCUUAGUUAAGGUGCCUAUAUGAACUUUUACGAACUUGUAAUGAAAGACUCCCAAAAUUUAUAAUCUACAUAAGUUUUUAUGAAAAAUUGAAACUUCUUAGCUAAAACUUUGCAAAAUGCUUUAUUUUUCGGAAACGGCUUAAAAAUGAGGUCGUUCUGGUGUGACGACCCGAUAGGUCGUCUUGAGUUCUAGCCCUUAUUUUCGUGUUUCGAGACUUCUAUUAGCUACAUUUAGUAUUUUUCGAUUUGCGUACGCAAUCCGUGUCUUGUUCAGGAAAGAUUUAAUGUGAAUUUUUUUUUUUAAAAAAAAAUUAGCUUUAAAAAUGAUUUGAGUUGACUACGGUCAAUAUUUUGUGUAAACGAUCAUCGGCAUUUUGACGAUCUCGGUGGGUCUGCAUCGUGAUUUUGGACUUUGGCGUAUGCUUAGAAUUGAAUUCGGAAGUCCCUAACUUGAUUUUGACUUGAUUUAUUGAAAACUAGUAACUUGAAGGUUUAAAGAUUUCUAUUGCUGCCAGGUUCGGAUUUCGGUUCCGGAACUUGGUAUAGGUUCAUUUUACUAUUUAAAACUUGUCUGCAAAAUUUAGUGCAAAACAGAGUUGGUUUGAUAGGAUUCGGAUGCUCGGUUGUUAAUUUGGAAGUUCUUGAGUUUCUUUGAAAAUUUUAUGCAUUUUGAUGUUUGAUUCGUAGUUCUAGGUAUUAUUUUGAUCACGCGAGCGAGUUCAUGUGAUGUUAUUAUACUUGUGUGCAUGUUUGGUUUGGAGCCCGAGUGGCUCGGGUGAGUUUCGGAUAAGCUACAGAGCAUUUGAACUUUUAAAAAAAUGUUGGUUAAGCUAUAUGAUGAUGUCUUAUGCAAUAUGUUUCGUGAUCGCGAAGCCGCUCUCGCGAUCGCGAAAGGGAAAUUGGGACAGAGGUGUAUUCCUUCUAUGUGAAUGCGAGGAUGCGAUCGCGAACGCAAAGCAGCGGGGGAACUAUCCUUCGCGAACGCGAACGCGACCUCACCCACACGAACGCAAUGGGUUAAUGGGUCUGGGGGAAGGCUGGGCUGAUACUCCAUCGCGAACACGGAGCGUAUCUCGCGAACACAAAGGCCAUUCGAGCCGUUGUGCGCGAUCGCGUCAGGUCCUUCGUGAAUGCGAAGAACACCUUACGCCAGUGAUUUAAAACAUUUCAAAAUCGAGAUUCUUCUCAUUUUUCACCAUUUUUAAGUUUGAGCUCGGCCUAGAGGCGAUUUUGAAGAUAUUUUUCAUCCCAACUUAAUAGGUUAGUAGAUUUUAACUUGUUUCCUUACAUUUCCAUAAACACCCAUUGAUUAUAACCUUUAAUCUAUUCUUUUUUAUGGUAAAAAUUAGGAAUUUAGGUAGAAAUUGGAGAUUUUGAGAAAUUGAGACUUAGACCGCAAAUUGAGGUUGCAUUUCGAAACUAAUCACAUAAUCGGGCUCGGGGGUGAAUGGGUAAUUGGGUUUUUGUCCGAAUCUCGAGUAUUGACCAAGCGGGCUCGGGGUUUACUAUAAUGACCUGAUAGGUCAUUUUGAGUAUUAGCCCUUAUUGUCAUAUUCUGAGACCUCCAUUAGCUUUGUUUAAUAUUUCUUGGUUUGUGUGCGUGGGCCGUGUCACUUUUUGAAAAGCUUUUAUGUGAAAGUUUGAAGAAAAUAUAAUUUUUGGCUUUAAAAACAACUUGAGUUGACCACGAUCAACAUUUUAUGAAAAUGACCUCGAAUCGGUAUUUUGACGAUUUCGAUAGUUCCGAAUCAUGAUUUUGGACUUGGGAGUAUGCCCAGAAUUGAAAUUGGAGGUCCCUAGAUUGAUUUGACUCAUUUUGCCGAAAAUUAGUAUUUUGAAAGUUUAGAAAUUUUCUAAGUUUGACCAUAAGUUGACUUCACAGUUAACGAGUUCAUAUUUUGAUGUUGAAACUUGGAAUAGGUGUGUAUUACUAUUUGAAACUUGUCUACAAAUUUUGGUGCACUUCGGAAUUGAUUUGACAUGCUUCAGACGCUUAUAUGUGAUUCUAAUUGUUCUUGAGUUUACUUUGAAAUUUCAUUCGUUUUGAGGGUUGAUUUGUAGAUUUGGAUGUUAUUUUGGUAAUUUGAUUGUGCGAGCGAGUUCAUAUGAUGUUAUUACACUUGUGUGCAUGUUUGGUUUGGAGCCCGAGGGGCUCGGGUGAGUUUCAGACGUGUUUCAGAUGAGUAUGGUUAGUGUAAAGACUGCUAGUGCAUGGAACACUUCUGGUGUCUGAUACAGAUCUCACAUCUGUGAGGUUUGGCUCGCAAUUGUGAGUCAUGCUUUUGCGAACAAUAGCUGGCAUUUGCGAGCAUAGGCAGGGCUAAUCUCGUAAUUGUGAGGAAAAUAUUCGCAUUUGCGAGCAUGGGCUGGGCUAAUCUCGCAAUUUCCAGGAAAAUGUUCGCAUUUGCGAUCUCAGAGUCGCAUUUGCGAUCUCAGAGUCGCAUUUGCGAUCUCAGAGUCGCAUUUGCGACUCAGUGUGCUCUUGAGUGAUCUUCGCAAUUGCGAAGGAAUCGUCCGCAUUUGCGAAGGUAGGUUUGUUCGCAAUUGUGAACCUUUUGUCGUAAUUGCUGCUUCUGCGCUUCUAUGACAGUGUUCGCAUUUGCGACCCUUGUCUCGCAUUUGCGAACAAGACAUCGCAAUUGCGACAUUUGCAAUUGGGUAAGAGAGAGGGAAAAUGGGACUUACCUCAUUUUACAUCAUUUCUCAACCCUAAACACUCUAGAGGUAAUUUUCAAGAGACCUUUUUUCCUAAGUUCAUUGGUAAGUGACUCUAAUCUAUUUCCUUUCAAUUACCCAUUACUUUUCAUGAGAUUUCAAAUUUAAAUUUAUGAUUUCCAUGAUAGAAAUUAGGGAUUUGGGUAGAAUUAGAAAGUUUUUGUAAAAUUGAGAUUUAAACCUCAAAUUGAGGUCGGAUUUUGAAACAAAUCAGAUAACCGGGCUCAGGGUGAAUGGAUAAUCGGGUUUUGGUCCGAACCUCGGAUUUUGACCAAGCGAGCCCGGGGUUGACUUUUUAAAAAAUGAUCAAAAUUGAACCUCUUUCAUUAAUGAGUAGUUUCUAAAGCUUAGUUUGAAUCAUUUGAUUGAUAAUUUGCUAGAUUUGGUUGGUUUGGAGACUUGUUCGAAAGGCAAAGUCGUGGUUGGUUGAUUGCUUUGAUUCGCGGAGUGAGGUAAGUGUUGGGUCUAACCUUGAUUUGAGGAAAUUAGAGAACCUUGAACUAUGUGUUAUGCGAAUUAUAUGAGGAAAAUGGUGUAUAUGCAAGGUGACAGAUGUAUAUACGCCGUCAUGAUAUUUGUUUCCAUGUUUUCGUUUAUUUCAUUAUAUAUCUUGCUUCAUGCCUUAAUUGUUACAUGCUUUAUUUGACUUCUAUGCCAUAAUUGUUACUUUUCAUUUAAUUAUUCUUGUAUUAAAUUGUCCAUCCCUUCCAUGACUAUAUGCUUAUUUGCUACUCGUCUCUACUUGUAUAUCUAAAUUGUCACAUGCUUUACUUGUCUUAUUGUUUGUAUUAUUUGUUGCAUUCUAUAAUGCGAUUUCACUUGCAUGAGUUAUUUAAUUGAUAGAUACCGAUGAAUUGGUAAAGUUGAGACUUCGAGUUGUUAGAGAUUCUUUGAUUAUUAUGUGGUUCUUUAUUACCUCGUACAUUUACCUUCUUGAUGUAAAAAUUCUUGUAUAUUUGGUUGUUGAAUUGUUUAUGUUGAUUGAAAUUGUUUGGGGAGCGGGUUGUACGCCGCAACGAAAAUUGGAAGGUAACGAAUUGAAAUGGUGGAAUAAGAAUGGAUUAUGGUAUUGACAAAUGAUGAUAUGGUAGAAUCGGAUUGCGCACCGCAAUUGAUUAUAUAUGUGGUACUUGUUUGUGAUUGUUGGAUUUGGAUCGGUAUUGUGAUAUGAGAUUAUGAGACUUGUUAUUCUUGACUCUCUAGUAGUUGGAUUUCGAGUUCUUUUUCAUGAGUUAACUGCUUUACUUCCAUUUCCUAUUUUCUUGUUAUUAUUAUUACUGUGUACAUGUUAUUAUAAGUGGCCCGCCUUAGCCUCGUCACUACCUCGUCGAGCUUAGGCUCGGUACUUACAGAGUACAUGGGGUCGGUUGUACUCAUACUAUACUCUGUACUUCUUGUGCAGAUACCGAAGUUGGUCCCAGCAGCGCUGAGUGAGAUUUCGGGUCAUGACAUUGACUUUUGUUGACUUUUUCCAAAAUCAUUAAAGAUUGAAUCUUUUUCACUCGUGAGUAGUUUCUAAAGCCUAUUACGAAUUAUUCAAACUAUAAUUGGUUAGAUUUGAUUGGUUUAGAGGCUAAUUCUAG
rnacentral:lncRNA from 1 species